rnacentral:lncRNA from 1 species
ACAAAAAAUGUUGAGCAAGGCCAGCAAAGCAAUCUUAGCAAAAAUAAAAGCAUGAAGCAAUACUAAGGAAGAUGUUAUAGCCUAGGAUGCAGAUGCCCAAGUCAAGGAGAGGACAGUGGUAAAUGCUAACUGGAAAAUUUUGUGUCCUCAAUUUCAGGGAGAAGCUCAAUGGCCCCAUCUUAAUGUUUCCCAUUCUAUCUCCAAGAUAGAGAAGCUCUAAUAAGCUUAGUGAGGAAUGGAGCCCCAGAAACCAUUAUAUCAGGAAAGUAGAUUUUGGUGGGAGGGGCGCUUGCAUUAUAAAUAGGCAUGGUAAAAGGAACAGUCACCAUACAGCCAGAGAGCUCUCCCCAGUUCCUCCAGGGCACAGCCUAAGAGAUGGGAAAUUAGGACUCAACAACUUUGAUCAGUUUUGUUCUAGUUAAGGAAAAAGAGCA